UACAGAGAGUGCGAGCGUUAAUCGGAAUUACUGGGCGUAAAGCGCACGUAGGUGGAAUUUUAAGUCGGAUGUGAACUCCCCGGGCUUAACCUGGGAAUUGCAUUCGAUACUGUGAUUCUAGAGUAUGGUAGAGGGAAGUGGAAUUUCCGGUGUAGCGGUGAAAUGCGUAGAUAUCGGAAGGAACAUCAGUGGCGAAAGCGGCUUCCUGGACCAAUACUGACACUUAGGUGCGAAAGCUGGGGGAGCAAACGGG
rnacentral:rRNA from 1 species